rnacentral:tRNA from 1 species
UGGAGAUGCCGGGGAUCGAACUCGGGACCUUUCACAUGCAAAGCGGAUGCUCUACCACUGAGCAU